rnacentral:rRNA from 1 species
UAGAUGGCGACCGGCGCACGGGUGAGUAACACGUAUCCAACCUGCCGAUAACUCGGGGAUAGCUUUCGAAAGAAAGAUUAAUACCCGAUGGUAUAAUCAGACCGCAUGGUUUGAUUAUUAAAGAAUUUCGGUUAUCGAUGGGGAUGCGUUCCAUUAGGCAGUUGGUGAGGUAACGGCUCACCAAACCUUCGAUGGAUAGGGGUUCUGAGAGGAAGGUCCCCCACAUUGGAACUGAGACACGGUCCAA